rnacentral:rRNA from 1 species
AUGGCCAUAGAAUUAAAAGCCACCGCCGACCGUUGCCGGGUUCUUGAAAAGGAAAACCAGGCGAAGGCAUCGGACCUUGAGAAGGCUGCUGUGAUGAGAAAAGACCUCCGCUCUGCUAUGAGGGCAAAGAAGGAGGAGCUGCGGGAAGCCAGGGAUAUUGUAGCUGGGAAAUCCUUUAUGUUGCGGAGGAAGUUCGGAGAUCCACGGUAUGCCCCUCUGGAUCGGCUGUGGAGUUCGGAGGAUGUGUAUAUGGAUUUGGCGGCGAGCGCUGCCGAUGCGGUCAAGUACUUCCAGGGUCAAACGGACCAUGAAGUGGACCAGCUGUUUUGGACACAAUUCCAUUCUCCCGAGCGUCCACUUUCAUUGACUGACCAAUUAGCCGAAUGGGCCGAGCUGAAUAGGUUGUCCGGACGCGCCAUGAGGUCUGUUGUGGAUCAGCUAUGGCCGGAAAGGCCAAAACCGAACAGCUAUUUCAGCUUGGUGCAGCAGUUCCUUGACAUGGUGCCGCGCAUCAAUGCGACGAAGAAGUCGGCGUGCAUAGAGGGCUCAUGGAUGGCCUUUGCCCGUGUUAAAGCAUGCUGGGCGGAGAUGGAUGCCACCACUGUUGCAGCGCGGGAUUCGGCGAUAGGCCGAAUGGCUGCUGAGCACUACUUUGAAGAAGUUUUUGAGGGUGCUCGUUUGAUAGAGACCCGGUGCUCAAAAAAUAUUAUGUUUGAGUGA